rnacentral:tRNA from 1 species
GGACUUGUGCCUGAAAAAGGGCUACUUUGAUAGAGUACUAUAUAAGGGUUAAAGCCCCUUCAAUUCCU